rnacentral:rRNA from 1 species
CAGUCGCCACGGUAAUACGUAGGGUGCAAGCGUUAAUCGGAAUUACUGGGCGUAAAGCGUGCGCAGGCGGUUGUGUAAGACAGGUGUGAAAUCCCCGGGCUUAACCUGGGAAUUGCAUUUGUGACUGCACGACUAGAGUGUGUCAGAGGGGGGUGGAAUUCCACGUGUAGCAGUGAAAUGCGUAGAUAUGUGGAGGAACACCAAUGGCGAAGGCAGCCCCCUGGGAUAACACUGACGCUCAUGCACGAAAGCGUGGGGAGCAAACAGGAUUAGAUACCCCGGUAGUCCCUGUCUCUUAUAA